AUUCAUAAAUACAGUAAUAUGGUCAAGAUCAACAGCAUGGAUGGUCUCAAAGGGAGUUUUAGCUUUAAAUUUCGUGCAAAUAGUUUGUCUAACAUCAAUUUCUUCGUGUAAAGACUUGGGAAUAGCAUUUAGCUAAAUGUUCAUAAUCUCGGAGAUAAGGUGUUAGAGAACUACAUUUAUAUUGUCAAGAACAAAAGCAUGAAUAGUCUCAAUGCUUCAAGUUGCCUGGAAAUAGUUUGUCUAACAUCAAUUUCUUCGGGUUAAAAAUUGGGUAUGCUCCAUGGAUUCCAACAUGUUGAAGUGCAAUUUAUUUAAGAUAAGUAUAAGACGUGUUAAAUAAUCAACAUAUUAAUUUACUCUUCUUUUCUUAGCUUUACAAAUUACUUAGAUGACAAAGAAUAAGGAUUCGAUAUAGAAUUUGAUGUAUGAUAAGAAAAAGACAGAUUUUAUUUCCACUAACAAUUAGUAUAUUUUUUUCUGUUUAAAAAUGUCUCAUUAUAGUUUGUAUAACUACAAUUUACAAUUGUACCUAAUAAUUUGUUGAAUCCAUUCGUAAUAUUUAAUGUUAAUAACUUCGAUUUCGUAUCAUUUGUCCCUAAUAA
rnacentral:lncRNA from 1 species